rnacentral:rRNA from 1 species
AUACGUAGGUGGCGAGCGUUGUCCGGAAUCAUUGGGCGUAAAGAGCGCGUAGGUGGCUUGUCAGGUCUGAUGUGAAAACUUGGGGCUCAACCCCAAGCCUGCAUCGGAAACCGGCUUGCUAGAGUCUGGGAGAGGAGAGUGGAAUUCCUGGUGUAGCGGUGAAAUGCGUAGAUAUCAGGAGGAACACCGGUAGCGAAGGCGGCUCUCUGGAACAGUACUGACGCUGAGGCGCGAAAGCUAGGGGAGC